UCUUAUCAAAUUUUUGAAUUUCAUCAAAUAGAAAUUUUUAAUUUGAUUGUUUUGAAAUUUCAAUAAUGUGAAACGUCUUUUUCAAGAUAUUCUAUUAUUGAAUUUUUUGAAAUAUCACUGAUAUAAAAAAAGCUAAGCAGUUUUUGACAAACCACUUUUUGGGAAACCUUAAGAGGUUAAAAGUUUUUAAUAUUAGUCCUGAAGAAGGGUAUAUCCAUACCCGAAACGUCGACUGGUACGAACUUUAACCAUUAGAAAAUACAAGCAAGACCUAUAGCCCACGAAACAGUAAAAUUUACUUUACUUUCAAAAAGGUCACGAAAUAAGGAAUAAUUAA